rnacentral:rRNA from 2 species
AUGGGCGAAAGCCUGAUGCAGCCAUGCCGCGUGUGUGAAGAAGGCCUUCGGGUUGUAAAGCACUUUCAGCGAGGAGGAAAGGUUAGUGGUUAAUACCCGCUAGCUGUGACGUUACUCGCAGAAGAAGCACCGGCUAACUCCGUGCCAGCAGCCGCGGUAAUACGGAGGGUGCGAGCGUUAAUCGGAAUUACUGGGCGUAAAGCGCAUGCAGGCGGCCAAGUCAGUCAGAUGUGAAAGCCCCGGGCUUAACCUGGGAAUUGCAUUUGAUACUGCUUGGCUAGAGUCCUUGAGAGGGGGGUAGAAUUUCAGGUGUAGCGGUGAAAUGCGUAGAGAUCUGAAGGAAUACCAGUGGCGAAGGCGGCCCCCUGGCAAGAGACUGACGCUCAGAUGCGAAAGCGUGGGGAGCAAACAGGAUUAGAUACCCUGGUAGUCCACGCCGUAAACGAUGUCUUUUAGGAGUCUGUGCCCUUGAGUCGUGGGUUCCAAAGCUAACGCAUUAAAUAGACCGCCUGG